AUUGAACGCUGGCGGAAUGCUUUACACAUGCAAGUCGAACGGCAGCACGGGGGCAACCCUGGUGGCGAGUGGCGAACGGGUGAGUAAUACAUCGGAACGUGCCCGGUCGUGGGGGAUAACGUAGCGAAAGUUACGCUAAUACCGCAUACGAUCUGAGGAUGAAAGCGGGGGACCUUCGGGCCUCGCGCGAUCGGAGCGGCCGAUGUCAGAUUAGGUAGUUGGUGGGGUAAAGGCCUACCAAGCCGACGAUCUGUAGCUGGUCUGAGAGGACGACCAGCCACACUGGGACUGAGACACGGCCCAGACUCCUACGGGAGGCAGCAGUGGGGAAUUAUGGACAAUGGGCGCAAGCCUGAUCCAGCCAUUCCGCGUGCAGGACGAAGGCCUUCGGGUUGUAAACUGCUUUUGUAUGGAACGAAAAGGCUCUGGCUAAUACCUGGGGCUCAUGACGGUACCGUAAGAAUAAGCACCGGCUAACUACGUG
rnacentral:rRNA from 1 species